UUUGAUAAAAUAUCAGUAACAUAUGAUAGUGGUUUUAUUAGAUAUUUUAAAUUUAAUUGCUGAAAAAGUUUUUGUAUAUUUUUAAACGUGCAAAAUAACUACUUAAAAUAUGUCAGCUUUUUUAGUUAUAUAUAUUAUAGACACGUAAUUUUAUCCGCCUAAAAAUUUAAUUUUUAUGUAUUUACCUCUCCCUGCCCUAUCCCCAACCUGUCCCCUACCCCCACCUAAUCCACCCACACUCCCAACAUCCCUCUGCACACACCCACUUACGCACUCUAAUAAUUCAACACACACAAUCACACAAGUAACAGACCCAUCCUUUCCACUCACAAUUCCACUCAUUUUAACACAUACCCUCACAUACGGAGAAACACACACGGAGGGAGAUAAUCCCGAUAAUCCUCCACUUUGAUUGACAAGAAAAUACAUACACACAAAAAUAAUGAGAAACGAGAUAGAGGAAAGAGAGAUAAACGGAGGGAGAUAGAAAAACCGGCAAGGGAAAAAUAGAGAGAAGGGAGGGACGUGACAGAGAGAGGAGGGAUCGAGAGAGAAGUAAAAAAAGGGAGGGAGUGCACGGAGAGAGAGAAGCAGACAAAUUUGAUGGUUGUCGGUAAGUUUCUCGUCGGAAAUCUGCUGGAUUCACCACCGGUAAACACUGCCGUCACCGUCCAUUGUUGUUCCGGCAAGACCCACCGGCAGACGGUCCCGUUUCCUUCCCAAAAUGUAUCCGGAUUCGGGUUGGUGAUUGUAUUUUGCUUGAAUUUCGGGUAUCAUUGUCUCGUGAUUCAUUUUUUCUUCGUGGGUUUGCGUUCAAAUCUGUUUGGGUGGCAUCUUUUUAGAUAUCGAGUUGGUCUAAUUCGUUGUUUGAGGUUCUUCAUUCGAGGAUUUUGAGUUCAGAUUUUAUUAUCGCACUAUUAUCAAUGAAAUCCGUUCUUGUGAGGUCCAAUUCUCAACUCUCCUCGUUUUUUACUAUCUCAACGUGGUUGAUGAUGUGAUUAGUGGUGUGUUUGAAGUGUAUUUGAGCUUUUAUAAUUAUUAUGACUUGAUUGAUCGAUUUCAUCUCGAAAUUAGUUAAUCAUUGAUUAAGAAUGGAAAUUGGGGAGGGAUUGAUCAUGAAAACAUGAAUGUGGAUAUAUUUGAUUUAUUUUUGAUAGUUUGGAUCGCAAUGAGUGUUGAUGUUUGUCGAACCCGAUAGUAUCAUGUUUUAGGACGAAAUAAAUAGGCAAAUCUUAGUUGGGUAGGCAGACGGUAGGAAUCAUAUUGUUGGGUGAUUGAAUGUUUGUUGAAUAAUUUUGUUGCACAGAGUUGAAAUUAUAUUCAUUUUCACUGGGGAAUACCUCGAUGAAAUUGUAUUUAUUUACCGGGGGAAUGUCCCAAGGUAUUAUGUACGCGAAGGAUGUUCGUGAUCAAAACCUGGAACACCGGGUAGAGCUUAGUCUAGGACUAAUUUAGAAUAGAAUUUACAUUUUUUGCAUUUUUCUAUUUUUUGGGUUGUAUAAUUUGAACUGUACAUUAUGUUGUUUUGAAUUUCUGUUUGGUUUUGUUUGUUUAUUUGUUUUGUCGGUUUAUACACUUCAUAAGGUCGUACUAGCCGAUAUAUUUAACGAAGCGAUCGUGGUCAAACCACGGGAUCAAGGAGUGCCUAACACCUUCUCCUUGAUCAAUAAAAUUCCUUAACUAGAAUCUCAAUUCAUGGACCAGUUCUGAGAGUCGAGUCAUUUUGAAAAAGGAUUUUUCAAAGGUAACUUGGCACACUCAAUUUAUGCCAAGUGGUGAAUCUGAGUCUAAUUGUAAAAAGUUCUUUUCGAAAUAAAAUUUUCAUCUUUUGUCACUUAAUAAUAAAAAUUCUUUCAAACUUAAAAUUAAUCUUUUUGAAAAAAAAAGGGUGUGACAGUUUGGCGACUCAGGUCAAUUUGCAUUGACUUGACCCAGAAUCUCUUCUCAAACUCGACGCAACCAGUUUCAGAUAUUAUCGAUUUGGCCUCCGAUUGUAUUGGCUUAGUUUAGCCCUAUAGGUGUAUAAACAUUUUGUGUGUAUUGUCCUAUGUUUUAUUAUUUUAUCAUUGGUGUGCACUUACAUGUUACGUAUUUACGGUAUUUUUUUUAUGUGUUACCAUUUCAUAUCUGGCAUCAUAUGCAUUACCCCGAGUCAAUUCUUUCGCAACAAGUCCAAAGUACACAUCAUGUACAUGAACUCUAAUUCAGUCACCCUUAUUUUAGGAGGGAGAUCCAUCGGAUGUAUGGAGUAGGUGGAAAGCAAUCGCAACCACAAUCGGCCAUAUGCUCCCCUGAAUAGCCUUAUUAGUGGACCUUAGCCUAGGUCAGCCUUUAGAUCAUGCUUAUCUGCAUCAUAUUGAGAUCUAGCGGGGUCCACUUGGUCCUUUGUAGGAGACUCACCCUUGAAGCAUCCCUACGUACUAAUUGUUGUAUCUUUGAGGAUAAUAGGGUCAUUUGACGGACUAAUUUAGGGAAAAGCAUGUGCUAUAAUUAAAGGGAAGUGUGUAGGUAACGAAAGAUUGAAAAAGAAGAAGAGAAAAGUGAGGAAAAAAAGGGAGUUUCAUUUUUUUUUUUUAGAGUUCUUUAUGACUUUUGUUUUUCCAAUUAAAAAAAAUCAUCAUAAUUUUUUUUUGUUUCUUUAGUAUGAAUUCAUAAUACGAAAAUUUCAAAAAAAAAAAAUUAGAAGCUUUUUAUAAAAUAAAAUUCAAAAAAUGAUAGAAGUUUUGUACAUUUUGUAUAAUGAAAAUAUCAAAAAAAAUUGUUCUUUCAUAGUUUUUGGUGUCAUUUUUAUGUGACGUGUCAAAUUAAAAAAAAAAAAUGAAAAAAUUGUUGAUAUUUUCAUCGUCUGUAGUUGGCCGUGUCUCUCAAUUCAAGAUUUAGUUUGUUAUUUAAUCCUUAAUUGUUCAAUCUGGACGAACUGUACUCACCUGAUUCUCCUUUCACAGGAGUGAGUACGUAGGCAGCCCUUCUAGGGUUGGGUGAUCUUAUUUAAAAAAUUUAAAAAGAUUUUCUCCACUCUUUAUUAGAGUAGGUAUCAUAUAUAUCUCGAAAAGAAAACCACAAAAAGAUUUUCCUUUAAUAGUUUCAAGUUUCAUUUUCAUAUGAAAUUUAAAAUUGAAAAUCCAAAAAGACUUUUCUUUGGUAAUCAGAGGUUUCAUCUUGUAUAGGAAUCUGAAAAAUUUUAAAAUCACACUUCAUUUAGAGUAGGUGUCACAUACAUCUCUAAAAGAAAACCACAAAAAAAUUUUCUUAAUAGUUUCAAAUUUUAUUUUCGUAUGAAAUUUAAAAUUGAAAACCCGUAAAGGGCUUUCUUUGGUAAUCAUAGAUUUCAUUUUGGAUAGGAAUCUGAAAAAUUCAAAAAGAUUUUCUUCACUCUUAAUUUAGAGUAGGUGUCAUAUACAUCUCUAAAAAAAAUCACAAAAAGAUUUUCAUCAAUUCUUUUGACAAUUUGUUAUUUUCUUUUCUUCUAAAAGUUUCAAGGAAAAGAAAAAGAAAGAGAGUUGAUCAGUCAUUUUUUCACCAAACUUCACGAACAACGCUCCCCUAAAUCUCCUCCUUUGGGAGUGAGAUACGUAGGCUCCUUUCUUGGGUUUGGUGAUCUUUUCAAAAGAAAAAAAGAUUUUGAGAAAGUGUUGAAUUCUAACGCAUUUGUUAUCUCUUGUUCAGUUAGUUUAAGGUGGUCGGUUUGUGGCUGGUCCUCCACAUCACACCAAGCCUAAGGAAGAUUUAGUCAUGUCCAACAAGGAUAUAGAGAGUGACAUCAUGGAUCAGACAAAGAGUCAGAAAAAUAAGAAUUUAAAGCAAGAGAUUGUGAGACUAAAACAACAAAUGAUAGAAAUACACCGAGCUUGGGCUAGUGGGUUGCAUCUUUCCGCAUUCCCCAUUAUUGACACCGUAAAUAUGUUGAGUCUUCCAUCACAAUUGUGGUGUAAAUCAAUAUAACAUGUUUUUUAUAUAGAAUGAGCAAUAUUAAUGAAAAAAAUGAUAUACCAAAAUUCCUCGGAAAAGCCAAACCGGAUAGCUAGAAAUAUCAAGAGAAGGCAUGAGUAGGACCUGAACAAAGUCAUUGGAGAGAUUUUGAUUUGUGUGUUGCACUAUAAUGGUAUAUUUGGGUGGUAUUUAUGAUUUUUCGUGAUAGAUUUAAAUGGAAAAAAAUUAUAGGGAAUCAAUUAUUUAUGAUAAAAUUAUAUAUUAUGAAAUUAAAUUUACAUUUUUUAAAAGAAAAAGAGAAAAGAUAAGCAAAAGGAAAUGAUGAAUAUAUUCACGUAUAUAGGAGUCUUUUACGACAUACUUUUCUUAAUCUUUUACUUCCCAUAUAUAGGAGUCUUUCAAUAAUACAAAACUUUUCACAUAUUCCCGUAGUACCUACGAAUAAAAAUUUCCCAUAUAUCUAUUUGCAUUUGUUUAGGAGUCUUUUAAUAUAUUUUAGGAGUUUGUACCAUAUACUUUUCAUUUAUUUAUUAGAGUAAAUAUUUAAUACUUUUAAAAGGUGAAAAGAAGAUUUUAUCUAAAGGAAAUAGAGUAUAGUUUAUAAAUUAGUGUAGACCCAAACUAUUGACUUUAAAAAUAAUUACUUUUGGCGGCAUUUUUAUAGUGGCAAUAUAGACCCGAGUUGAGACCCUGGCCGCGAUGGGCAUCCCGAACCAUAAAGGCCCGGACGCUCCUUUCCAUUUGGCGAUCAUGCACAACACUCAUACAAUGAAAAGAAAUGCGGAAGAAAAUAUAAUAUGGAAUCAUGGUCAAUCUCAUAAAUCAACUAAGCAGUUUGAAAAGGAAAUUCUUAACAAUUAAAAUGCAUGACACCCAUCUGCGAAAUCUCUAACAAUUCAACAACUACCAUAUCUUUAAAACAAAACUGGAACAAGGUCCCAGUCGAGCCAUAAACCAAAAUAAGAUAAUGCAGUAUGAUAACCAAACCUUCCGAAAUAGAGAAGGCUCACCAACUGCAACUUCACACAAACAAUCUAGUGCUUAGAAGGACCCCGGGACUGUGCCUCUGAUCCUGAAAUAUAAGGGUCAAUAAAGAUGCACUGAUAUGUGAAACAACUCAAAAUAACAUGUUUUUAUAUAAAAUAGAUGAGAGCAUUUCGGGAAACAUUACACAUAAGUUAAAUAAAACACAUGGGCAUAAUGUAGAGUUUCAAAAACGUCUUGCAAUCAUGACUCAACACUUUGUUACUCUUCCGAGCUAAUCGUUAUACCCUACAAUUUGUAAUUUCAUAAGUUAUAUGAAAUCCGCUCUUGACUCUGUGCCCAAGCCUCCAAUCCAAGUGUACUGCAAGAAUUGGAGUUUUAUAAGUUGGUAUGCUCCCUUAUAAGUAUAUCGUGGCAUCACCCUUACAUAACAUCCACAUUAUUCUCCUUUCGGGAUAAUACUCGUAUCGGCAACUACGAUUUUCAACAAUGAGCCCUUAUACUCAAACGCCUUUUUCGGGUAACCAAUUAGCUCUCUUAAGCCCAAAUUUUAAUUCUUCAAAGUCAUGCCUCAUACUUUCAAAACGAUCAAUACUUUUUUCUAUUAAGGGAAGGUCAUCACCGGGUGUCGUCAUACCCUGACUUGCAAGUCAAUAUUAUAUCAAAUCCACAGCCCGUCAUAUUCAAAACAUACACAUACCACCGUAGAUUCAUAAAAUCACAAUAGAGUCAUCAAUUUGAAAUCUCAAGAGAACUUAUGCAUACACCCUCUUUUCUUGGUGCACGUUAAGGGAAAAACCUCUCAGUGAACGUUAAAUAACGGUUUGCUAAUGUGCACCAAGCAGCGAUAGCAAGACGACAAGCAGCUACUCGACCACCAGUGCAAGUACCGCAGGAACUCCAAGGAAAAACGAUUACCCCAGACUCCGGUAUUCCACACACACUUGCUCCGAUGAAGCAAAGUAGCCGGCAUAAUGGAGAAGAUGUGACCAAAGCAAACUCGAUAUUGGAAGGGGAAGUGUUACAGAAGGAGAAUGAGGUGGAAUGCUCAAAUGCAACUUGGAAACUUCAGUUCUUAGCUAUGUUGCAAGCUACAACACCUAUGGAGGAGGAUUUAAAGCAGACCAAAUCGAAUCCAGCUGGUAAUCGCCAAGUCCAGGUGUAAUACCCCGUAAAAUCCUAAGUCUAAAGUUCAGCUCAUUAAGCUUUUCAAGCUCCUAUAUUUAGAAAAUUUUGCCAAGUGUUUAACACUUAGUCUCAUUUUAGACCUCUAAACUUUCAGAAUUUAUUUGACGACCUUCCUAACCUUAGUUUUUGGAUUUUGAAGUUUCAUUACGAUGGGGCAAGGUCGUAGUAUAUCUCGGGUAAGUUUUGGAAUUUUUCGGAUAGCGUAAGGGCAUUUUUGGAUUUCCAAAAUAGUAGCUCAGGGCGAUAAGCCCGCGUCGCCCAGCUUUCAGCACUGAUAUUGCCAGGCGUUGCCUGGAAACUCCACCAUUAUUUCCAGGCGUCGCCCUUGAAACUCCACUGCUAUUUCCAGGCAUAUCCUUGCAAGUCCGGUGCUUGCCGAGUUUUCAGCAUUUCACCUCAGUGUCUUGGAGGAUAUUUUUGUUAUUUUUCCUUCAUAUAUAUACUCAAAAACACGAGAUUAAGCCUACAUUAUACCAAAAUAUAACCUCUUUUCUCAAAAUCCUCUCAAGAACAAGAUAGGGUUUCAAUUAGGGGAUUCAAGUUCAAGCAAAUUCUUCCAUCAAAUUCCAAGAAUCUUUCCGUCAAUCUUCAUUAAAUCAAGAGCUAAGGUAUGUGAGUGUUCAUCCACGACUUUCUUUCAUUCGUGGAGCCCAAGAAUUAUGUUUUGAAUAAUAUAUUAUGAUUUGGUUGUUGUGAUUGCUCAUGUUCAUGUUAAUGGUUAUUAUUCAUGUUUAUGGAUGGUGUCUUGAUGACUUUUCAUGAAGUAUGUGAGUUGUUAAUUGCAAACCUAUGAAUUUGGGUAGUUUUAGAGUGCAAGUUGAUAAAGACAUCUAUGUUCAAAGUUGUGCAUGUAAGAUGUUUGAUAAAAUGCCUAGAAUGGUAGAAAUCAUGCAUUAUAGAUUGCUAAUGAAUUAUAUGAUAAAUUCAUGCUAGUCUAUUAUAGUCAAAAGGCUCAUAUGUUGUUGUUGUGCAGUAUAUGUAUUAAUGGAAUGUACAUAAUGAUUGAAUGAUGGUUUUAUAGUGUGCCCAUAUGCAUUCCAUGCUAUGUACAAGAUCAAGAUCAUGAAAUACCACAUGAGUUAUUCCCUAAUUAUUACAAUGUGAACUAAAUGUUACAUGUUUGCCAUUUCCUUAUGCUUAAACGGUGUUCAUGUUAUCGUUAAGAAAAGUACUUGUUGUUGGAUUGUCCAUGAUAUUAGAACAUGAAGUUUAUGACUUGAUUACAGGAAUUCCCAUUCAUAUUAGAUAAUUAUGAUGACCCUGGACUUCAUGAAAUCCCUCAGUCAUGUAUUAUGGAUUGUUAUUAAUGGUCAUGUACUCAAGAAGGUCAAGUUAUGUCAGUUUCCUUCCAUCGUGUCCUAGGGGUACUUGUACCCAAAAAAUAGUUAUAUGCCUAGAGCCAUGUCAUGUUAUCAUGAUACUCUCAGUCAAACCAUGAUCUAUAGAAUUCAGUCAGUCAUGUGACUCAGGAAACCUCAAAAAUCUCAGCAGUCUUAGUAGUUCAGUAAUCUCAGUACUCAGUAAUCUCAGUUAAUCUCAGUAAUCUCAGUACCCAGUAACUUCAGUAAUCUUUGUAAUUCAGUACUCUAAAAAAUCUCAUGAACUUAGUACUCAGUAAGAUCAGUAAUUUCAUGAACUCAGUUAGCUAUUAGAUAUCAGUAGCAUUCUGUUAGUUUCGAAACUCAGUAAACUCCAAAUCAGUUCAGUUCAGUUAAUUAGUUUAGUGUCUUUCAGAUGGAAGUAGAAAUAGCACCGAGUGAACCCAAGGAUAGGAACUCACCUGCCAGAUUAGGGUGUGAUUCUUAUCAGUCAUCCUUGUGUUCCAGAACUACGUAGCCAGCGUAGGUUGAGAGAUCUUUACUUGUCAAAUUAGGGUUGAUGAGGUGAUUUGACCUAUAAAAUCAUGGUCUCACCGUUCUCAUUAGAGUAACCUGCCAAAUAAGGAUCACUCAGCUUAUCCUUACUAGUGGUGUAGUGUUGACACCCUUCUAGUCAGGGCAGAGAUUGGACCCCAACUUAGCUAUAUAUGUUACAGAGGCAUAUCUGUUAGAUGACUACUUCCCACAGUCUCACUUACAGUCUCAGUCUAAGUAAAAGAACUCAGAUAGUUCUUCAGAUUUCAGGACUGUCAGAUACAGUCAACUCAAAAAUAGUACGAAACUCAGAUAAUUUCUUCAGAUCUAGGACUAUUAGAUACAGUCACUCAUGUUAUCAGUUAUAUUAGUUCCCAGAACUCAUGUUAUCAGUCAUAGCAAUUAUUAGAAUUCACGAUAUCAGUAUUUAGCUUUAGGACUAUAAGAUACAGUCAACUAGACCAGUUCUUCAUAAUUCGAACUAUCAGAAAUAGUCAUUUAUCUAUUCAGUAUCUCAAUAGCAGUACACUCAUGUUGUCAAUAUUCAGACUCAGUAGUCAGUAUCUCCACGAGUUCAGUUACAGUUACGUAUGCAUGUAUGUAUUCUCAUAUUCAUGAUAGUCAGCCAUCUAGUAUUAUUCAUGCAUAUAAACCUUAUUGCAUUUAGCGUACCUCACUUGCAUACCAGUACAUUCAAAGUACUGAUGCAUUUGCGCUAUGGUGUCUUAUACCAUAGGCUUAGAAGCACAAGCUCCAGAUCAACAGUAGCAUUCCAGUGUUCAGAGUUGGAAUGAGUCCUUCUCAUUCGAGGACUAUAUGAUUAUUACUUAAUUUAUUAUUUCUAUUCAGUUGCUAGAUGGAGUUAGUUGGAGACAUGUUCCUUCAACUCCUUAUUCAGUACAGUUAGAGGCUUUUAGACUAUAGCAUGUCAGACAGUUAUUUCAGAUUUGUUUUGGUAUUAUUAUACCAUUUUCAGACACCGUAUUAUCAGACGUUUAUUCAGUUUGAACCUUAUGGC
rnacentral:lncRNA from 1 species